GUGACACGAUAAGAAUGUUGCAUCAUAGAGAGACGACUGUUACAUUAGCUUCACCUCACUAUCUGGUGCAGUUGGAGCAGAAGAAGAACUCCCUUGAGCUUGGUAUAUACGCAGUCGUUUCAACAAUAAACGUUUUAUACCCUAAGAUCAAAGCUCCCACAUAUACCAAUCGUUCGAUCUGUUUUUAUUGGCCACGUGUCAGCAUCCUCACAGUUUGUUUAUGAAGUCGUAGAGCAUCUCCAACGGGGGAUUCUCUCAAAAUAUUUGGGAGGUUCUCUUGAAAAAGUGGAGGAAAAAUAAAUCAAAAUGACAAAAAUAGAAGAGAGUUGGUUCUCUUCAGAGGCUUUUGAGAACUCUAGAGAGGCGACUACGUGUCAGCAACCUAUUGGCUGAAGCAUUAAAACAAAAGAAAAAAAAAAAAGCCUCUCAUUUUACUUUGUUUUCUCCGCAACAAAAAAACUGUGUUUCUCUCCUUUGCGAUUUUUUCCAAAAAACUGAUGAAGAGAUUUUUCCGAUGAAUCCGUCGAUAGAGGCUAAAAUUCUCUCCGAAAUUGCGGUGGGUGAGAGCUUUUGUGUUCUCUGAUUUCGUAUUAGCUUUGAGACCAAGGAGCAUAGAAAACAAAGUUGUUGUUGUUGCGGAAGUCAGAGAAGAAUGUUUGGCCAACGAUAGAAGCAGGGAAGGUAAAACAAGUGAUUCACAAGUAUUUACCAUUGUCCCAAGCAGCAGAAGGUCAUAGCCUUAUGGAGAUUAGUAACCACAUUGGUAAGAUUCUCUUUGCGACCUAAUCCUCUGAAAAGGGAGAAAUGUUUAAAUCUAGUCGAGUGUGUUCAUAGAUGUACAAGACUUGGAGUUUGUUUUGUUGGCUUUAUGUAUCUCUGAUUUUGUGAUAGACUCUGUAACUAUGAAACAUAUAUAUAACGAGCUGUUUUAUAAAUCAAA